rnacentral:lncRNA from 1 species
UCUUGUUCCCCAAAAUAAAUUCAUUCGUUCUAACCAUUAGCCAUAUGAUUGUACAGAUAGACCAUAUAAAUGGGAUUCUUUCUGUAAAUAGAAAUCAACCUGAUUUGAUUAUGUUUCAUGUCCAUAAUAGUUUUCUCUUGGUAGAAAAAACAUAAACAUGUACAUACAGAUUAUAUUUCUGCUCAUUGCAAGAGGAUAUGAGGAUUUCUACUAUUAUACCGACAGAAUGAUAGCAUCACCUCAAGCAUGUAACCGUGGGAGUUAGUCCUUCAUUAAUGAUUUGGUAAGUUGUCCAUACUGCCUCGAGGGGGGAAGUUUUUAUCACUGCUUUUUGGUUGUAUUUAUGUAAGAGGCAUGGAGGGAGCUGGAACUAAUUUGUGAUUUCUCCUGGCCAUUUUUUUCUUCUAAAAAGAGAAAGUUUUCCGGUGAUCAAACAUUGUAGAUCAGAAAUGUUCUUCAUCGAUGCCCAUCCCAAUUGCUAACAAUUCUUUUGCACACUCAGGUUUGUGCUUUUCAGUGGUAAUUUACUAAACAUACUUUGGGUUAUGAUCCUUUGACAUACACUUAUGCCCUCCCCUACACAUUAUUUUUAGGUUGCCAAAUAUAGUACGAAGGAACUAUAGCAAGUGAAUUGUCGAGUUUGCCAAGCAUAAUGGCACACCUAAUUUUGGCAGAUCAUAUAAAGAGGAUAUCGAGCAAAGAUGCUUUGAGAUUUACCCAUGACUAUAUGCGGUUCCUAUAAACUCCUGUUGCAUGUUUAAUGAUUGCCACAAUAGUUUCUUUUAAUGCACCAGAGAAUUAUAUUUUUUGUAUCAGGUAAAUAAUUCUUUUCUCACUGUUAUUUUUCCAGAUCAAGAUCGAGAUAUAGACAAGGGGUAAUGGCAGCUCGUGCAGUGGCAGAGUGCUGGGGAGGCUGCCGGUGUCGUUGCUGAGAGCUGGGGAGGCUGCUGGUGCCAUGGCCGAGCGAUUGGGCGAGCUGCCGUGGUGGAUGUGGGAGAGCGACCAGUAAGGCAAGACAGAGUUGUGCUGUUGGUUAGGUCCAUGGCGAGGUGCCACGAGAUGGCAUCAGAUUUAUUGGAGGAUAUACAUGAUGACUAGGGUUGAGAAUAAUAUUGCUACUCCUGCAAUUUUGAAUCAUGUGUGAGAGGAUAGAACAGAGAAAAGGAAUAUGAGGCAAUUUUGUUUGCUAUAUGCUUUGUGUGCCGAUGCUUUUGUACGGAGAGAGACACUUCAUGUGAUGUUGCUAUGUGGCCUUCUAUGCUCUGAUGUGUGCUAACUUUGUACAAGGGACAUUCAUAUAUUGGAAUUCAAAU